rnacentral:rRNA from 1 species
ACGCGUUGGGAGCUCUCCCAUAUGGUCGACCUGCAGGCGGCCGCGAAUUCACUAGUGAUUAAUAACAGUUAGAAAUGACUGCUAAUACCGGAUGACGACGUAAGUCCAAAGAUUUAUCGCCGAGGGAUGAGCCCGCGUAGGAUUAGCUAGUUGGUGUGGUAAAGGCGCACCAAGGCGACGAUCCUUAGCUGGUCUGAGAGGAUGAUCAGCCACACUGGGACUGAGACACGGCCCAGACUCCUACGGGAGGCAGCAGUGGGGAAUAUUGGACAAUGGGCGAAAGCCUGAUCCAGCAAUGCCGCGUGAGUGAUGAAGGCCUUAGGGUUGUAAAGCUCUUUUACCCGGGAUGAUAAUGACAGUACCGGGAGAAUAAGCUCCGGCUAACUCCGUGCCAGCAGCCGCGGUAAUACGAAUCGAAUUCCCGCGGCCGCCAUGGCGGCCGGGAGCAUGCGACGUCGG